UGGUGAGUAUAGCUAUGGGGGUACACCUAGUUACAUUCCGAACCUAGAAGUUAAGCCCAUAUACGCUGAUGUUGGGGGGGGGGGAGAAAAAAA
rnacentral:rRNA from 1 species